rnacentral:rRNA from 1 species
UGAGGAACAUGACCUUCGGCGGGGGAUAGCCGGCCCAACGGCCGGGUAAUACCGCGUACGACCUUUCGGGGACAUCCCCGGAUGGUGAAAGCAGCAAUGCGCCGAUGGAGUGCCUCGCGGCCUAUCAGCUAGUUGGUGGGGUAACGGCUCACCAAGGCAACGACGGGUAGCUGGUCUGAGAGGAUGGCCAGCCACAGUUGGGACUGAGACACGGCCCAGACUCCGUACGGGNGCAGCGAGGG